UACGUAGGGGGCAAGCGUUGUCCGGAAUCAUUGGGCGUAAAGCGCGCGUAGGCGGCCCGGUAAGUCCGUUGUGAAAGUCAAAGGCUCAACCUUUGAAAGCCGAUGGAUACUGCCGGGCUAGAGUCCGGAAGAGGCGAGUGGAAUUCCUGGUGUAGCGGUGGAAUGCGCAGAUAUCAGGAGGAACACCAAUAGCGAAGGCAGCUCGCUGGGACGGUACUGACGCUGAGGCGCGAAAGCAUGGGGAGCGAACGGG
rnacentral:rRNA from 1 species